GAGAAGAGAAGAGAAGAGAAGAGAAGAGAAGAGAAGAGGAGAAGAAUAAAAAGAAAAAAAAAAAAAAAGAAUGUCCAUUUGAAUAAACAGUGAUAAUAAUUUUAUCUGAAUAAAUCUUUAAUAAAUUGAAAUUAUUACUGCAGGCUUAAAUAAGCGGUAAGUUUUGACAAGAAGGGCAUUAUCAUCUAAUUAUACUUACUUUAUGAAAGAGAGGGGCAAGGGCCAACCUGCGAGCUGUCUGAACUGCAGUAAUGGAGUGAUCCCCUCUGCAGACUAAAGAAGGAGCCAUCAGACAACAAUAACACGCAAGCGGAGCGCUGAACAUUGCAAUGGAAACCAUGCUUCGCAGACACACCGUCUUAAUUGUUACGGAAGCGAGCAGAGCAGUAUGGAAAGUGCAUGGCGGAGCAGCCUUUGCUGGAUGGAUGAGAGGAUCCCGUGCCAGAUAUUAUCUGAUCCUCCUGAAGGUUUCUUUAAUUACCAGCAGUCGGUACUGUGUGUUAGCUUCCGAUUGGCUCAGCGCUCAGCAUAAAGCUGCGUAUCUGCAUUCGCAAACAGGUGUACAGGUAGAACUGGUAGGUAAUUGCCUUCUUCCUGGGGGCAUCUGCCUUGCUAGGAACACUUAGGAAAUUCCGAGAAGACACCUGUGAGCUGCUCUAUUGGUGUCUCGUGUUCUGCUGGUGGCCUGAUCUCCUGCGCUGGAUUAUAAAGAGCUGUGCCCACUGAAACACCUUGCCUUUCUCAUACAAGCAGUGGGAAAAAACCAGGUCAGCAUGGUGGAUUUUAUGGCAGAUUUCUACAGCCAAGACACACAAAUGCUGACAGAUUUCCAGGAUGAAAGUGAAGAAGGAAAUCUUCCACGUGGCUGCAUCUCAAAAAGCAGUGCUCCAGCUGCUUCAUAGCUGUGCACUCUUCUCCUUGAUGGUCUCUCAGGAGAGAACAUUGACACAGGCAUAGAAAAGGGAAAUGAGAGGUGAAUACAAGAACAAGGCAGCCUGAGGUGCCCGAGAAACGCCAGUAUGGAAACAGGUCCAGCAUUCCUCUUCACCCCAUGUUGGAUACAGGAGGCCUGAUGGAUCAGCUGUUCCUUCAGGAUUAAAGAGGAGCAGCAGAUGAAGUCUGUAUCAGCGUGUUUGAGCACCUUUCCCCUGCUAAAUGCCUGCGCUGGAGCUGUCAGAGCCACAUGGGUACGGACGGCCUACAGAGCCUGUGCCACCAGCUGGGCAGGUCCCUAUCUGCAGCAGGCCUGAGGUGUGAGUCCAUUCCUCCUACCUUCCACUGCUACCUCCCUACAAGGGGACAUUGCUCUUGUUUGGGGAAAGCUUAAGGCUUGUCCAACCCCAAGACAGCGAGCCUGGUGGUGCCACUGUCUGGAGCGACCUUCCCAUCACUGUGGUCUCUUCAGUGUCACUUACACCAGCACUGUAGCAAUUUCCAUCAUUAUCUACUGCUGAAAAUAGACUCAGACCUAAAUAAUAUCUGAGUAUCUUAUAGAUAAAUGAUUUGGAAAGAAAUAUCUGUUCUUAUCGUGAGGAAAGAUCUAUAACUCACUCUUAGUCUUUCAUCACUAGGAGGAAAUAUACUGCAACUAACACCAAUAUAUUAUCUGUUCUUAUUUUCCUCCAUAUGUGUAUUUAUCUCUCCGGCUCACUCUUUAUCAACCCAGCCACCCGUGCUCACCCAAGUACACAGCCCAUGUGGCUCAAGCCAGCCCUCUGGUCUGUGGGAGAGUCUCUGUUCCUCCUGACCCGCAGCCUAUAUGAAUCAGAAGAACACAGAUAGUUUUCAUCCUCUAUCCUACAUUUUCCUCACCCACAACUGAAAUCCCAUUCUAAUGUCAUGUCAUUUUGUUGGCCAUCACGCUGAGACACUGAGUAGUUAAAAUCUGCAUGGUAUCAGUCUCAGUACCGUAAAUUGCAACAGGAGGGGCCUGAGUCAGGGCUGGAGCUGAGAUAUUUCCCAAGCCCAUACAUGUCCCAGCCUGGAAUUUUAGGUCAGGAAUAUUUUGAAUUCCAAGUUGUAGAAUUUAGCAGCUCAUUCACCCAUCUUCCCUCCGUGCUCUAAGUUGAAGGCCUCCCUCCAGCCCUUGCCUCAACGGUUUCCAGUCUAAUGUUGGGAUUAAGAUUCACAGAUACAUUUACUGCAUCCAAUCCUCGAGGGCAGUUAACUCUUUUGCUAUGCGCUUCCUCCAUAGCACAUUGCACUUCUUUCCCAAAACAACUGAUAUCCCUCUGGUACACGAACACACGCCUGGCGAAACCCAAAUGUCUGGGAUUUGCAGUAAGAUCAAAUUUCAGCAUUGAUAGUGAUUCAUUCACUCAUUCAUUCACGGAAAAAGAUAAAGGAAUCCAUCUUGCCCAAGUAUGAAAGCUAUUUUUCUUCUGUGGAGUAUAGCAUACCGCAGCCAGCAACUGGUUGCCCUGUCUGGGACAUGGGCCCUUUGUAGAAGAUUCCCCUAUUACAUCAGCUCACGCAUCAGCUUGCAAGAAGGCUUCCAAGUGGGAAAGCAUAUGAUUUUUCAUUUGGCACUGCAAUACUACUGCUAAUAAAAAGAGUAAGUAUUUUCUAUCCGAGCCUGGAAAGAGUCUGCUGAAAGGCGGGUUUCGUAUAAAAAUAGCUGCGUGUCCACAUCAGUUAGUUUUUAAAAAAUUAAAUGUAUUUUUCGAUAGCUUUACUCUGCACUGCCCAGGCACAUUAAGCCACGGUAAACUACAUCCUUAUGGUUGUCAUAACGUUUUGCUCCGUGUUGCUUGCAAUGGGAAUAAUCUAUUAAGAUAUAUAAAGUGCAAAAUGCUGCCUUAUGUCUGGAGUUCCUGCUAUCUGCUGUAAACACCCAGUGCCAUUCCUGCUGCGGUGGUGCAGGAGUGGAGGGCCCGGGCCAGUGACUCCAGGCAGGCUUGGCCACAGCCGUCAGGGCUGCAGGGACCUGCCUUUCUCCCACUGCACUUCCCCUCCUCCUCCCCUAUCCCAGCCUGUCAUCAAUCUUACUAAAAUGACAGCAGACAGAUGUUAGCCUUUGCAAAGAUCAAAUGAAAUCUAUGGCUUUAGGGCUGUUCACCAAGGAGCAGAGUAGUCUACACCAGACAGGGGCACCACCAGUCACCCCCGCUGCAUCAACCCGCCUCGAAUCAGUUUGGCAGCCAUCACAGUCAUCUCUCCACGGGCAGCCCCGGUCCAGAAAUAGAUUUUGACAAACUUUAACGUUUUAGCCUCUCCAUAGAGUUGUUUGUUUGUUUGCUUUUUUUUUUUUUUUUUUUACAUCAAGAUCGCUCAUUCUGAACUCUUGGGGGUGAGUUUUAUGUGCCCCUGUGUUGAGGCUGACUGGGGGCUGUGCCUGCAGCUGCAUGGACAAGCAGCUCAGUCACAGGAGUGGGGGUUAAUUCUGGUUUAGUUCACUUGGCCCUUACAAGUUCAGUAACCUGAAUGCUGCUAUCAAAGGAAGGAAAAAAAGAUUACUCCAUGGCAUAAAUAUGCUGUAUGUGCCCUUGUCUCAUGCAAUUUCUUUACAUCGAUGUGCAGGAAUAUUUAUCCCCAGUAGAAAUGUUUAACUAAUCUGGUAAAUGUCAGGCCAUAUGGUGUACAUUGUAAGGAUUUCAUCAGGCCUUUUUAACUCUUUGUGAAAAUCUCUCUCUCCUAUUCCCUUUCUCAGUGUUCCCCUGUCCCCGUCCCACUCCCCCCCCCCCUUUAUUUUUUCUACCCCAACAUUAGAGAUAUUGUGAUGGUGAUGUUUAUGGUUUAUAGUAACAAGCAACAGUAGCCAGAGGUGCAACUCACGAGGCACCUUUAUGCAGGGCAAAGAGAUGCUGAAUGCAAUUUCUAUCAGCAGUGACUUUUGAGAAGAAGAUCACAAAUACUUACUUUAUAACAAACUGUCCACCCAACCAACGUACAAAACUCCCAGGGGCUGGCUCAUCUCUUAUCACUUCCUUUGAAUAAUCAGCUCUUCACAACAAAUAAACUGCAGCUCUCUGGCACUUUCAACUAAAGGAAAUGUUUCUGUGCUGUAACUAUCUAGUCUAUCUCCUAGAAAGAUAGAGUGUAACUUACAAUAAGCAAUAUCAAUGAAGAAUAAACCGUUAUGCUUGUGCCAAUCCUUAUUCAUGGCUUCAUAACAAGACAUAUCUGUUUUCUUCGUAUAAAUCCUGACUCUAUUUUUAGUUUGCAAAUAAUAACUCCAGCCUUUGGCUGUCUGCCACUUCUGUGAAAAACUGGAAUAGCCACAGUGCGAGACUAUGAUAUUUAAAAAAAUUAAAAAAUGGGAGGU